rnacentral:rRNA from 1 species
CCUACGGGUGGCAGCAGUGAGGAAUAUUGGUCAAUGGACGAGAGUCUGAACCAGCCAAGUAGCGUGAAGGAUGACUGCCCUAUGGGUUGUAAACUUCUUUUAUAAAGGAAUAAAACGAGGCACGUGUGCCUUUUUGCAUGUACUUUAUGAAUAAGGAUCGGCUAACUCCGUGCCAGCAGCCGCGGUAAUACGGAGGAUCCGAGCGUUAUCCGGAUUUAUUGGGUUUAAAGGGAGCGUAGAUGGGUUGUUAAGUCAGUUGUGAAAGUUUGCGGCUCAAACGUAAAAUUGCAAUUGAUACUGGCAGACGUGAGUACAGAUGAGGUAGGCGGAAGGCGUGGUGUAGCGGGGAAAUGCGUAGAUAGCACGAAGAACCCCGAGUGCGAAGGCAGCUUACUAAACUGUGACUGACAUUGAUGCUCGAAAGUGUGGGUAUCAAACAGGAUUAGAUACCCCUGUAGUC